CAAUUGGCUUAGUAUAAAAACAAGAAAGAGGGUUCAAAUGGCUAGCCUAGCGCCCUCCAAAGUUAAAAACAAAAUACACCUACCAGCCUCUCUAAAUUUCACAAAUUAACAAGACUCCAAUUAGUGAGGGCUUUAAAGGUGCUUGAAGGUGCAUUAGUUUGAAGUUUGGACAGACCCAGGCUAGCUGUUUCACGCUGCUUCCAGUCUUUAUGCUAAAUUAAGCUAACCUCCUCCUAGUUUCCCCAUUGCCAGACCUUCCUCCACAGCGCUUCAGGAAACGAUCGGAGAGAUAGUUCAGCAAGCUGUCACCAGCAGAGAUCCCGUUUUCCCAAAUGUUGGACUGCUCCUAUAUGUUUGGCACAGCUUUUUUUAAACAGUCCAUCAGAUCUUGAAUCUUUGGAUGAAUAUCUGUUUUAAAUGGUUACUUACCCGUUGCGAUAAUAACCCAUGCAGAUUGAAUUUGUUUUGUGCGGCUCAAAGCUUAAAAAAGAACAUUUGAAAAAACUGAAAGUAGAUUUUUGACCUUGGAAAAUUUAACUCAAAAAAAUUGUUUAAAGCUGAGAUACAAACUCCAUUAUUUUUCCUUAAAGGAUUUCCUGUCCAUGUUACUCUGUGUUGGACAUUUGAACAUCAACCACACCUGCUGAUCAGAAGCUAGAUGGACAUUAAUGGUCCAUGUUGCUAAAGGAGAAACAAUCCAGAGCAGAACGAGAUGGGCUGCAGCAGCGAUCGGUUUACAGACGCACACACGGUGGAGGCCUUCAGAAGGAGACAGAUCAGGGAUCUGCAGGGUUCCUACUCACGGCUAAACAAAAAUGUUUUGAAAAGUCUGGAGCAGGACGUUCAUGAUUUCAGGGCUGUGUUAGGAUAAUAGGUUGCGGGAAAUGUUAAAUGAAAUACAUUCAGCUUCAGGUCAAGCAAACUCUAGUUUCUGCGGGAACGCCAGAUCUUUACAAACACGGAACUUUUCUUUUCUGACGUUGAGA